UGGCAACUCUAUUUUUAGUUUUCUUGAGGAACCUCCAUACUGUUUUCCAUAAUGGCUGCACCAACUUACAUUCCCACCAACAACAACAAAAAAAAUUGUGCAUCUUACAUUGGAUGUCCAGCAGCCUUCUGAUUCCCUGGCUGUGAGAGUGUUUUUAAGCCUAAUGUUGCACUGAAUCUAUACGUCAAUUCACAUAGUAUUAGCAAUAUUGACAAUUUUAAACCUUAAUGAUGUUAAAUCUUCUGAUCCACAAACAAGGGAUAUCUUUCCAUUUAUUUAGGGCUUUAAUUUCUUCAAAUGGUAUUUUGUAGUUUUCUGUGUAAAAGCCUUUUUACAAAGCCUCUUUACAGUUAUUCCCUCUUCAGAGCCUUGAAAACCCUCUGUGAAGUAGAGAUCACACUCUGUACAUCAAAGAUGCCUCAACUAGUAAGUGACAGAGCUGGGAUUUAAAUCCCUGGCCCGCCAGCAGAGCUGGGCCUAGACUUGCUCUGCUGGGGGCCGCUCGUUCCAGCCCCUAACUGCAUAGGGACCGAACAUCUCUCCUCUGUCUGGGAAACCUGCUGACCUGGUGACAGUCCCUCUGACUUGGAGGGGGGGUUGGAGGGAGGGACAGGGGCAGGACUGGCAUGAGAUGCUCAGGGUCAGGGAAGGAGGGUCCAGGGGAGGGUCCCACACACAGGCUACAGGCAGGGAGGGAACCUGUUUGGUUGAAACAGUGUCCCCAGCCCUUGGCUUCGAUGAAAACCACCUGGGCGCUUAAAAAGUUCCCAGCGUCCAGGCUCCACCUCAGACCAAUUAAAGCCGAACCCUGGGAGCAGGGCCAGGGAAUCCGUGAUCUUAAAGUAACCCAGGUGAGGCUGCAGCUCGGGCGGGGAACCGCCGGGUCAGGUGGUGAAGUUGGCCGUCAGUCCUGACCCAUCAGCUCUGCCCCAGCACACACUGAGGCCAGCAGAAGAGUCCAGACUUUAGAUCAGACAGACCAGGCUACAGUCCCGGGUGUGGAUCUCGGUUCCAUGUCACAAGUUCUGUGACCCUGGGUGCUUGACCUCUCUGACCCUCAGUUGAUGAAUCUGUGAAAUGGAGACAGGUAUACCUACCUUGAGAGACGGGAUCUGUUUCUCCUCUUCUUGAGCCUGGACUGGCCUGUGACUGCUCUGACCAGCAGGGUACAGCAGAAGGGACGCUGCACCAGCUCGGGGUCUAGACUCAAGAGGAUUGGCAGCUCCCCCCUCCAUGUCUUGGGCCUCUUACCUGACUUUUCAGGUGAGGAGAAUAUGCGGCUGAGAGGUGACUUGCCCAAGUAAAACUAUCAAGCGCUCACUGCUUUCCUGGCUCUGAGGGAGGAAAAGGCAACAUCUGGGGCAGCAGAUUUGACCAGACUUUUGGAGUUUUGAGUCCUGGCUCUGCCACUCCCCAGCUGUGUGACCUUGGGCUGCUAGAUAACCCUCUCUGUGCCUAGGCCACUGCUUUUGUAAAAUGAUGAUAAAUGGUUGCACCUCAGGGCUGUUGCAGGGGUGAACUGAGAGUACCCUGUCUUGACACAGCGGCUAACAGCUACUGUUAGCAGGGAGGCUCUGCUAGCCCCGGCCUGGAGGUCAUGAGGGGCCUGGCCACAGCUGUGCUGAUCUGGUGGCUUAUUUUUGAGGAAGAAGCGGGACCCAGCACGGAAGCGCCUGGGAAAACCCCCUGUUUCCCACUGGUCCCCUCUUCUCCCCUCUGGAGACAGCAGAGCCAUCCAGGGGGUGUCAGGGUGGGGCAGGAUUUCCCCUCUUGUGACAGACCCCCACUUCCUCGGCUCGCGUAUCACGGCCAAGGUUCAAGUGUCGGCGGGGCUGGGGAGGCAGCGUAAGUUUUGCCCUCCUCCUGAAGCCAAGGGCCCGUGACCCCACCUUUUCCUAGGGGUGAGCCAGAUGCCAGGUGGGCCUCCUGGUCCCUGGAUGCACAGGUCACCUCCUCUGGGCGCUCCUGGUUCUGAGGCCUGUGGAGGCACAUGGUCUUGCCCAGGUGUGCCCAGUCCCCAAGCGCCUCGGGGUUCCUGUUCCUCACGCGAAAACCUCAGACCUUCUCUGUGCUUCUCCCUGGUGAGCGCGUCUCCCCGAGCAGCACAGACCACCCCUGCGUGGAGUCCGUCUUCUCACUGUAGUGCAUCGGUCACAUCUCAGAUGACAGUGGACAGAAUCUGGGGCCAAAAAGGGCCUCAGAGAUGAUCUGAUCCAGCCCUUGAUCAGAAAAUCAUUUUUAUUGUAGUCAAAUAUAACCAUGAUUUACCAUUUUAACCAUGUGUAAGUGUACCGUUCAGUGGUGACUGAAUUUUAUAGCUGAGGAAACAUUCAUUCAAAUGAAAUUCUCAGCAGAAGCCUGAUAUAAAACUUUCCACGUUUUGUGGCCCGUGAAGGGCUGGGCCUCCACAGCCCCUGCAGGAGCUGGGAGGGAGCAAAGUGCAGGGCACGGAGGACAGAGGCGGCCCUGGCCGUCGUUCCCGCCACUGCCCCUGCUCUCCAUCAGGCAUUUGGCCCCCUCGUCCUCGCCCUCCAGGCCUGGUCUGACCCGUGAACACCCCGUCUACUCGGGGACUCGUGGCCUGCUCCCCAGUGCCCACUGGGACCUCCAGCCACAGGUCAAGGCACUGUGGACAGUGGCUUAUGGCAGGUCUGGGUGAUGGACGAGGGGAUGCUGGGCCUGAGCCUACCAGAUAGGGACCAGGACGGCGAGAUGCUGUCUAAAGCACUAAGGGUGCCCAUUCAGUGCCAGGAAGGACCUGCUGGCUGGCAGAGCCGCCCACAGAGGCACAGUUCUGAGAUGACUGGGCAACCGUGGAGCUGUGAGCUCAAGACACAGGCCCAUGGAGGAAGGAGCCUGGCCAUGGGCCAGCCCCCAGGAUCCCUGUCAGGCGCGCUUGGACUGGAAGGGACACAUUGGCUCCGUCCGUGAGGUGUUGGCACGCUGCCCGUCUGGAUGCAUUUCUUCUGAGUGAAAAGCGGGUCACGAGUGAACCCCUUGGAUGAGGGCUUGCGGUCCUCUGCCCCUGCCCAGCGGCGGGAGGCACAGCGUGAACAAGGAGGGCCCUUCGGGGACGAAGGGAGGGAGGGAGGAGAGAGGAGGACCCUGUGUCCCUGGUGGGCAGGAGGGCAUCCAGCUGCAGAAGGAGGCUUUAAGUCAGGAGAUGUGAUGAUUUUGUCCUCCACAUAGAGGGCCCACCACGCUCCCCUCCUUCCAAAGGCUUGAAGGAGGAAAACAAGGAAUAUAGGAGACGUUCUGUGAAGAAAAGCAGAUGAACAAAGCACUUACAGUUCAGAUGAGAAGCCUCCAACGUGAGUGAGCACAUCUGCAGCCUGAAAUCCCACAGCUGGACGGUGAGGUGCCGGAGCCGCCACCGAGACCUCACAUCCUGCCUGCACCUCACCCAGAGCGAGUGCUGGACCUUCGCAGAAAGGCCGCGGAGGGGGGAAUUUACUGCGCGGAGGUAGAGAAGCUCCCCGACGUGCGUGGAAACAUCAGCCUCACAGUCACUGGAGUGACCUCCUGCAGGAGGAGACGGGAGAGGAGACAGGAGAGAACAACCUCCUUCCCUGCAACAGAAACGUCUUAUCUCUUCUGAGAAGGAAGCUAGAGAAAAGUGGGCGCCAGCUCUUCCCACUGAGGGGAAGCCCAGCUAGUGAGAAGCAGGGGGGACGCGGACACCAGUCGUGGAGCAGAGGCCCGGGGCCAUGGGUCAGCAGGUCCCCGGGGCAGGAGGCCGCUGAGCCUCCAGGACUGAGGGACCCGGCUCACUUGCGGGGGUGAUGCCACAUUCGCAGCAGCAGCCCCGCGGGCCCAGAGACCUUUACCCGUUUUCUCUCCUAAAAGCAAUUUUGAUCAAUAGUUUUUAGUUUAAUUGAUACCGCACCUGCUCUUAUUGAAGUUUAAUAAAAUUGUGUUUCCUAAGACAGUGUUCUUCAAAGAUGGAUGAUUUUGAUAUAAUCAUUACGAAUACAUUAUUUCCACUUCAUUGGACCCUCUAGAGCUAGAUGGGAUAAGUAUUGCAUUUUGAUUGAAACACAAGGUCCACUAUUACUUAACCUGUAAUUGAACUUGGACACGCCAAGAUGGAGACGGGUGAAAAAUAAAUCCAUUUCUAUAUUCUGGGGAAAAAACCGAUGAGAGUGGGCUCCUGCCCAGGAUGUCUACUGAGGGGAGCCCUGAAGCCCCGGAGCUUUUCCACGGAUUUAACCCUUCACGUUGCAGGUGGGGAAACAGAGAAGCGAUUUCCCUGGGUAACCCUGGGAAAUUCACGGCAGCACAGGUACGAGCGCCAUGUCUCUUUGUUUCCAGUCCAGCUUUGAGCCGCGAGUUGCUCAAGAAGAAUAGGCUUCUCGGCCCCCACCUGUAAUUCUAAGAAAAUUUAAUCAGCUUCCUGGUGCUUUACAAAAAGAGCCAGCUCUUUCUACCUGUUUGCAGCCUGGCCUGAUGUUACCUUGGCAACAGCUGUCAACAGAAAUAUUGCCUCCCCCCCGGGCCUGUCACAUCCUUUAUACCAGACAUGUGUGUGGCCAGGUGAAGGGGCAAAGCAGUUGGGCCUCGUAGACCCGGCCUCGGGGCUCCUUUCCGCUAAGAUCUGCUUACUUAUAACCCAAAGGAAAUUUGUCCUAAAAACAGGAUUUCCGUGCUCGCUUGGCUGGUUUUCUUUUUAUACUCUAUAAGGACUUAACGGGGAGAACCUUGCCGUUUGAAGAGGUUAUUUUUAACAGCAGUAUUAGCCUGACAUCCUAAACCUGGGAUGUUACAGGUCAGUAGGAAAACCCACCGGACCUCACCGUCCAGAGGAGAAAAGGAAAGCCUCUCCAGGAGAGCUGAUUGCCCAGAGUCUGUGUAAUUUAUUGGCGAUGCAGGGCUUUGACUUGGCUGGAGUCCUGGUUGCCUUUUAGGGGUUUGGCGUUACUGCAGGUCUGGCUUGCUGACAGCAACGCCGUGUAGGUGCUGCCAUCCCAUGGGAUGGGCACAGGCUUGUUCGUGGCCUUUAUUAGAGAUGGGGCACAUUCUGGGGGCUAGAUCCUGAGUCAUCUUCUGGGAACCCCAUUCUCUUGCUCCCAACUCUCCCUUCCCUUGUCUCCCAACUGUCUGCCACGGGCUGGAGACCUGGAAUCCCUAGGGUUUGGGCAGGGGACGGACUGAGUGAGGUGGGCAGGGAGGGGCUGGUGAACUGGUCAUCUGUCCCCACUCGGCCUGCACGACACCUGCGGCUGGAGCUUUGUGUCUGUUCCGUCUCCCCUCAGUCAGGAUCCGAGGUCCAUUCUGCUCCCAAGGCCCCUCCUGGACUUCCACAGGCUCCACAUGCGCCCCUGGCGUCUGGCUGCACCCCCAGGAGGGAGGGGGAAGGCUUGACCUCUCCCCUCUUAGGCCUCCGGCUGGGCCUGAGGAUUCAACUGACCUAAGACAGAUUAACAGGAGAAAAGCAUGCAGAGUUUUACCUGUACAUGGGGGCCCUACAGGAAAACGAAGGCCCAGAGACGUGGCAGAACCUAAGUGCUUAUAUACUAGGUUGGAUGAAGAAAGGAAACUGUGGAAAAGGAACGAAAACACCUGGAGAGGCUACGGGAGGAGAGUUAGUUCAACAAGGUCCGUCUGCACGGCAUCCUCCCUGGCUUGACUCCCUGUCUCUGAUGAUGGGUGUUUCUUCCUCCUGAAACAGGGACCCCAUUUUGAUCUGCCGGCAGCAGGGAUGCUUUCUGCGUUGGGGACAUGUGACGAACCACAAAGACCCCUUCGUGGGGGACACAUAUUAAAAUAGGCAGGAAAGUAGAUUUCCAACUGCCAUCAUGGUCUGCACCCCCGGGGAGAGCUGUGGACCCCGCUGUGGACCAAGGACAGGCGCUUGCUCCUGGUCACCCAGGCUACCAGCUGGGUUCCUCGUUUUACUAAAACGCUCACCUGUUCGCUGUACGGCCUCCCCGCCCCCCCACCAGAGUGAUCUCAUGUGCGUGGUUGUCUUUUCCAUGACUUGCAGGAUGCAACUCAGGCAGCAUCCCCUCUGCAGGCAGCCUUGCUCUGAGCUAAGAUGAGAUGUGCUACAGGGGAGGGAUGGGUGCAGAGAGUCGGGCUGAGGUUACUCCAGAGUCACACUCCAGAUCCCAUCGAACCCUCCAUUUGGACUGUCUGGAGGGGCUCACGCUCACCAGUUGCCAAGGGCUGUCCUGCUCAGAGCCCCUUCCCCAUGCUUGUCCUGGAAAACUUCUGCUCUUGCUUCCAGAACCAGUAGCUGAGGAGCCAUUUCCAUGAAGUUGAGUUGGGUUCCAGUACUAGACAGAGGUCCUGUUUUGGCUUUCCAUCAUGAGUCCCCCUUUCAUGUAGAGUGGUCCCCACUUCCUGCCUGCCUCCCGCUAUGGGAGCAGGGAGACAGAGUUCCCCCUCUUCUGCCCCCGACUGCAGGGCUCGUGUUGUGGUCCAGACCGUGACUGUGUCAUCAGUGGUGGAGGUAACCGUGCUGGGGCCCAGAGCCGGAGACGCAGGCUGUGACAGCAGCAGGUGUGCCUAGGUGGUCUGACAGCAGCGGGUCUGCCUAGGUGGUGAGACAGCAGUGGGUCUGCCUAGGUGGUCUGACAGCAGCGGGGUCUGCCUAGGUGGUGUGACAGCAGCAGGUGUGCCUAGGUGGUGUUACAGCAGCGGGUCUGCCUAGGUGGUCUGACAGCAGCGGGUCUGCCUAGGUGGUCUGACAGCAGCGGGUCUGCCUAGGUGGUCUGACAGCAGCGGGUCUGCCUAGGUGGUCACCACUGCCUUUGGCUGAUCUCACUGUGGCUCAUUUGAUUUCUGCCUCUGACUUGUAGCUUCCUAUCUAUUCUGUGAGCCUGCAACGUCCUUAAAAAAGUAA